CCUACGGGUGGCAGCAGUGAGGAAUAUUGGUCAAUGGACGAGAGUCUGAACCAGCCAAGCAGCGUGAAGGAGGAAGGUCCUGUGGAUGGUAAACUUCUUUUAUAAAGGAAUAAAGCGCGGCACGUGUGCCUUUUUGCAUGUACUUUAUGAAUAAGGAUCGGCUAACUCCGUGCCAGCAGCCGCGGUAAUACGGAGGAUCCGAGCGUUAUCCGGGUUUAUUGGGGUUAAAGGGAGCGGAGAUGGGUUGUUAAGUCAGUUGUGAAAGGUUGCGGCUCAACCGUGAAAUUGCAAUUGAGACUGGCAGUCUUGAGUACAGGAGAGGUAGGUGGAAUUCGUGGUGUAGCGGUGAAAUGCGUAGAUAUCACGAAGAACCCCGAUUGCGAAGGCAGCUUACUGAAAUGUGACUGACGCUGAUGCACGAAAGUGUGGGUAUCAAACAGGAUUAGAUACCCGUGUAGUC
rnacentral:rRNA from 1 species